UGAAGCUUCUAUUUAUAAUGGAUUGCUGUAAUAGCCCGUCGGUGCGCUCUGUCAGGCGAUGAGGCGGAAUCAUAUGACCUGCCGUUCAUUCCUGUAGUAUAGCUGUGACACGAGCUGCACCUCUGCUCCACAUUUCUCCGUCGUUCCUAGCGAGAGGACCUGAAAAUGCAUCAGAUCGUUGUGCUAUGAUAUACUGUCGGAUAUUUAUUUAAACAGCAGUCGAUAUUCUCACUGGUUGAUAUUUACGAAACAUAUCUGACAUUGAUUACGCAAGACGAUGCCUGAAGAAAAAGCGUUUCACCAGCAGGCUGUUCACAGUCCCCAUGAACAACAGAAGGGACAGCGGCAGAGUGGCCCCAUCCCAUGUCAAAACUGUGGCAAGCCCUGCAAAGGCGAGGUGCUCCGGGUGCAGAACAAACACUUCCACAUUAAGUGCUUUGUUUGUAAAGUUUGUGGCUGUGACUUGGCUCGUGGUGGCUUUUUUGUGCGACAGGGCGAGUAUAUCUGCACUCUGGAUUAUCAGAGGCUCUAUGGCACCCGCUGUUUCAGUUGUGAAGAGUUCAUUGAAGGAGAAGUUGUGUCCGCACUGGGCAAGACAUACCACCCUCGUUGCUUUGUCUGUGCCAUCUGCAAACAGCCGUUUCCAGCUGGGGACCGUGUGACAUUUAAUGGGAAAGAGUGCAUUUGUGAGAAAUGCAAUCAGCCGGUGCCAGUCAACAGCAUGGCACCCUCACAGGCUGUGCACAAUUGCUGUGGCUGUGGAAAGGAGUUUAAAAAUGAGCAGUCUCUGGUGGCAUUGGACAAGCACUGGCACCUUGGCUGCUUCAAAUGCAAAGUGUGCAACAAAGUGCUCAACGCAGAAUAUAUCAGCAAGGAUGGGAUCCCCUAUUGUGAAGCAGACUACCAUGCCAUGUACGGCAUCCAGUGUGAUACCUGCAAAAAAUACAUCACCGGAAAAGUACUUGAGGCCGGAGAGAAACACUAUCAUCCCACAUGUGCCAGAUGUGCACGUUGUGAGCAGAUGUUUGGGGAGGGGGAGGAGAUGUACCUGCAAGGUUCUUCCAUCUGGCAUCCUCCAUGCAGACAUGCAGCACGUAUGGAGGAAAAGAGUAAGAAACAGGUGCGGAUUCAGCUCAAUGACCUCCAUUCAAAUGUACCUGAGCAGGUGACCAGAACCUCUUCUGAGAGCAUCACCUCUGCUCCUGCCUCCAGUGCAUCAGGCUCCCCUAGCAGAGUUAUCUAUGCAAAACUGGGUGAUGAACAUCUGGACUACAAGGAUCUGGCUGCUCUUCCUAAAAUCAAAGCAAUCUACAACAUUGACAGACCUGAUAUGCUCUCAUAUUCACCUUAUGUGAGCUACCCUGUGGAGGACAGAACUUUUGGAGAGUCACCCCAGCAACAUACACCUACUCCAACUGAGGGAGAUGGGGAAAAGUCUCCUCACCAGUGGAGGCCCUCCAGCCCCAGCUCCAACAGCUCUUUAGGGGGUUAUGGCCGUUAUACCCCUUCCCGCUCACCACAAACCUACAGCAGACCAGAGCAAUACAUGAGCAUCAAAUAUACCACCCAUCCAGACUAUUCCAACAUGUUGACUGUACCAACUUCGGGUAGGAAUAGCGCCCAUGGUAUUACCAGAGAGUCCUCCCCACUACCUUUGUACAGCAGCAGUGGUCGAAACACUCCACUGGCAGGGAACAGUGGUGUGGCCCUGCCACUCAACCCUACCACCCUAGCCAUGCUUCAACAUCACAACUACAUCCCUUACUUCAGAGGUAGUGAAAGUGGACGCAGUACCCCCAGUCUGUCUACCUACUCUGAUGGCAAAUCUCCUUCCUCUACAUAUGUGGCUGCCCCUCGUCAUUUCCACAUCCCAGAGAAUAAAGUCAAAGAUAAUAUCUAUAGAAAACCCCCUAUCUACAAACAGCAUGCUUCCAGAACCUCCUGGCAAGAUGGUGAUGAUGUAGACAGAAAGACCAGAACAAGUUGGAUGAACCUGAAGAGUGAGAUUGAUGGACAGUCUCCAGACAUCAAUCCCAGGACCUCCACCCACAGCUUGCCUACUGAUAUGUCUCAACCCAAUUUUCCAUAUAACAAGUCUGCCUCGCUGCCAGGAUAUGGGCGGAAUGGCAUAUACAAGGCGGCUGAUCUUGUUGAGGAUGACCCAGACCAUGACUCUAGCUGGGGUGGUAUGAGAGGUGAGUGAGUAUUUAACUUACAAAUUGUCAAAAGACGAGUUGUGUUUGGAACACCCUAGAAUAAUUAACUAAGAUUAACUUAAGUAAUUUGCUAUCUUUCUCUUUUUUUCUCAACCUCUUUCCCAUUUUCCAUUAUUUUCUCAGAGUACAAGGUAAGUUUUGAUGUUUAUAAUACGUUUUUAUGCUAGUGUGCUGAUUUUAAUUAUCUCUAUUACACAUUGGUUAGACUUUGUCCCAUUUUGUAGAAUGCAAAUAGCUGAAUGCAUAAAUAUUAAAAGAGCCAACCGACAGAUUUUCCAAGCUUUUUGCAAAUCUUUUCGUGAAUUGCACUUUUUCUGUAACACUUUACAGUAAGGAUGUAUUAGUUAACUUUAGUUAACUACAGUAGUUAACAUCAACUUAUAAGUGUUUCUUUCGCAUGCAUGCACAUGUGUUGCAGGUCUACCCCUAUGACAUGCUAGCUGUGUCUCACAAAAUCCGAGUAAAACUACCACGUGAGGUGGACCGCACCAGACUGGAGAGGCACCUGUCACCAGAGGACUUCUUCAAUGUAUUUGGAAUGACCAUUGAACAGUUUGACCGUUUGGCCUUGUGGAAGAAAAAUGACCUAAAGAAGAAAGCUCGCUUGUUUUAAACCCAUGCCGAAUUGCUCCAAUGAAAGCCAAGAUAAAACCUCUUCUCAUCCAUCCUGUGUGCAUGGAGGGUUGAGUGGGAGAGAAAUAUAUAUGCACCUCCAUUCUGCUGCAUAGCUACUGUCAUCCCAUCUCAUGCUGAGGAAGGGAGUGUGCUGGAAUGCUUUCACAACACUAAGACGAUGUUCACCACUUACCUUUGUGUGUGAAUGCUGCACCACAUGGUUUGAAUGUUACUCUGAUGAUGGAGAGACUGUAGUCAGAACAGAAUUCUCCAUGGCUCUCUUCGUUUUUCUCUUUGAUUGUCUCUUUGAUCUCGCUCCUCGUCUGUCUUUGUGAUUACUGCGUUGUAUUCUCUCUCUGUGGAAGCACUCAAUAUUAAAAUAAGCCACUUUCUCUAUAUUUUAUACCAUUGAUAAACAUAGCCAACCAGCUAUGUCUUUGUUCUAAACUUACUUGUUUUCUUUUUGACUGCUAUGAAUGUUGUCCCUCUUCCUUCAUACUGUAUACUCAAUGACUUUCUCUCUUGGUCUCUCCAUCCUGAUGCCCCACUCCCUGUCUCUUCCUGCCUAUCCCUCUUCUUUCCUCCUAGACUUGAUACUCCGCCACCGCUUGGACUGUAACAUCUAUCAUGUAAUAUCAGCUUUACUGAAGCUAAUCCAUCUACGGAUUUAGUACGACCAGGCCAAAGACUCAGUCAAAGCAAGGAGUCAACUAUUUUGUAUGUGUCUUGGGGCAUUUAUGCAUUUGUUUCCUUUUUCAGUGAAAUUGUGUUCAUUAUCAGAGAUUUAUCAUGAUUUCACAGUUAUUCAAUAAUACAUGGAGAGUUAUUUGUCCUGAAUAUUACAUACUUUCUCCAUACCUUCUGCACAGUAUGUAUGAACAUUUAUGCUCAUAUUAUUACCAUCAUCUUAUCAGAUAUAUCAGCCAGUCAUUGUUUUGUCUUAUCAUAGCAAACCCUUCAGAAUAUUUUUGUACUCAAUUUUUUUUAUACCAUACAGAGGUUACUAGAUACACCAGAUAUUUUAUUUGCCAUUUGCAAAUAACUGCAACAUUGACUUGGCAUGGAGCCAUGCCAAAGUUAACAGAUACGGUUUAGCAGUUAGCAACAGAAACACAACAAUAAAUAAAGCAUGCAGUUCAGUGAUGCUUCAUUUAAAACCAAAUAAGAUUGUGUUUUACUUUAAUUGAUUCUUAAUAAAUGUGUGUGCAGUAUAUUCAGAAUAUUGAUAUAAAUGUCUGUUAAGCUGAUCAUGUCAAACUGUAGGCAUGCACUGCAUAUUGUAGAAGCAUAUUAUAUCGGCUUCGUAUUGAACUGAACUUUAGAGUGUAAUCAUGACUUUUUGUGUGAGUGAUUUGAUUUUUGAUUUGAAAGGAGGUCUUUAGUUUUUUGAGCGACUGAAAGCAGUGUGUGUUUAUUCAGACAAGUUUUCUCUGCACCAAGUCAGCUAUAGAUAUAUUACUCCAAUAUGGUUCUUUUGCUAAUGCCAAUGACUCAAAAUAGGGUGAUGAAAAACACAUUCAGUAAACUCAGUUUUGACUAAAGAUAACCAUGUGUAACAUGUGCCUAUUUUGUUCAGUAACAAGCCGUCUUUGGAUUUAUUUUUUUAACUGCACAACAGGGAAACUCACUAUCAGAUUGUUUUACUUAAUUGUUGAUUGUGAAAAUAUUAAGUUUCUAACCAACUGUGGAUAUCUAAAUGUUUCUUUUCAUAAGGCCGUAAUGUAUACAUUCUUCAUGCAGUAAAAUGUUGCCUUCUCUGGUCAUGCUAAAAAUCUGUAGUUCUGGGGAAUAUACAGUACAGUAAAGCUUGUACUGUAAAACAUGGAUGUGUUUGGUGUGUGCAUGCAGUGGAUGUCUGAGUACAUAGAAGGGAUCAUUCCCAGAUGUUGAGCUGUGGUGGACAAAUAUGUGAGUCUUAUUUGAACAGCUGUAGAAACAGGCAAGUGUAUGGGUGUAUGUGGUGUUAGCGUCCGUUUCAGCAGUCCAAUAGUUCAGACUAGGUAAAUUCAGAUCAAAGUGUGUUCAAUGAUCUUCAUCAUUCUUUAACAACACUAUUAUAACCCUUAAAAACAGACAAGUCAAGGCAAAAAUUAACCUAACUGCAGGUCAUAUUGUGCCUACAUUGACAUUGUCUACAUUUGUGAGUUUUCAAAAAAAAAAUAUGAUUUGCUUUUGAUUUUGCUUUUUUCAACCUUUUAUUUAUUUUUCUCUGUGUGUCAUGCAAAUGUCCACUUUAAGUAUUAGGUCUCUUCCUGGGUGAAAGCAUGUAGGACUGUGACCCAAUAGAACCCAGCAGUUUUUGAGAGUUGUUUUGAGCUGUAUGAGCAGUGCUGUUACAGUAAAUACAGUAUGAAGAGAGUUUGUGCCCAGAUUUGACUGCAGCAUUCAUACAAAAAAUGUCCUUUUCUAUCUAAAAAAGUUUGAGAUGUUUUUAUGAAGUUGUCUUUGUGUUAUGGCUCACAAGGUCACACCAAAGGGUUACCCAUGGGUGUGCUACUGUGCUUGAUUUUGUGUAAGCAAACUAAUUUCUGCAUAUAACUGUGAUUCUGACUGUAAAAGUAAUGAAUUUGGGAAAAUGUAAAUGCAGCCUUUUCUUUCACAAUGUCUUUUGAGUUGCUUUGCAAGAAAUUAAUGUUAUUCUUCUCAAUAAAUACAGCU